rnacentral:lncRNA from 1 species
GUCCGGUGGCUGUGGAGGAGAGAGCAGAGCACAUGGGUGGAGGAUAACUUCGUGUGGUGCUUUCUCACAGUGAGGCCUGGGUUUGUUCUAACAUCUGGAAGAAGUGACAAGCUGCAGUCACCAAAGAUUAUAACGCAGUGGCUACUUGCUUCAGCUUUCAGAAUAGAAUGGAAGAAGACAUCAAGGAAAACUACAGUGUUUGAAAUUUGCUGUUUAAAACAUUCUAAUAUUAUUAGAUUUUUAUGUUUUUGUAUGCCUAUACUUUACCAGUGCAAAUGGUGCAGAGAAGUGGAAGUGAAUUUGCUAGCUGUUUGCAUAUUUUUGAUACAUGUGUAUACAUAUGUUUUUAAACUGUAGAGAAGGCUUUUGGUGGAA